rnacentral:tRNA from 1 species
GUGGCACAGUGGUUAAAGUGCUCAGCUGCUAACUGAGAGGUUGGUGGUUCGAACCUCCC